rnacentral:rRNA from 1 species
GACGAACGCUGGCGGCGUGCUUAACACAUGCAAGUCGAACGGAAAGGCCCUGCUUGCAGGGUACUCGAGUGGCGAACGGGUGAGUAACACGUGGGUGAUCUGCCCUGCACCUCGGGAUAAGCCUGGGAAACUGGGUCUAAUACCGGAUAGGAGCCAUUUUUAGUGUGAUGGUUGGAAAGUUUUUUCGGUGUAGGAUGAGCUCGCGGCCUAUCAGCUUGUUGGUGGGGUAAUGGCCUACCAAGGCGGCGACGGGUAGCCGGCCUGAGAGGGUGGACGGCCACAUUGGGACUGAGAUACGGCCCAGACUCCUACGGGAGGCAGCAGUGGGGAAUAUUGCACAAUGGGCGCAAGCCUGAUGCAGCGACGCCGCGUGGGGGAUGACGGCCUUCGGGUUGUAAACUCCUUUCGCUAGGGACGAAGCUUUUUGUGACGGUACCUAGAGAAGAAGCACCGGCUAACUACGUG